CUUGUGGACUGUCAAACAGAUGUUAGUAGUAUUAGAAAUAAUAUGAGGACAGACAGGUUGAAACAAGAA
rnacentral:sRNA from 12 species